GACGAACGCUGGCGGCGUGCUUAACACAUGCAAGUUGAACGGGGCAUAUUUGAAGGGUAACCGGAGGGUAUGGUCUAGUGGCGAACGGGUGAGUAAUGCAUGAGAACGUAUCCUCAAGAGGGGGACAACAUUGGGAAACCGAUGCUAAUACCCCAUAAGCCGGGAGGUAAAAGGAGCAAUCCGCUUGAGGAGCGGUUCAUGUCCUAUCAGCUGGUUGGUGAGGUAACGGCUCACCAAGGCGAAGACGGGUAGCCGGCCUGAGAGGGUGAACGGCCACACUGGAACUGAGAGACGGUCCAGACUCCUACGGGAGCAGCAGUGGGAAUAUUGGGCAAUGGGGGAAACCCUGACCCAGCGACGCCGCGUGAGGGAAGAAGGCCUUAGGGUCGUAAACCUCUGUUGUGUGGGAAGAAGAGCGUGACGGUACCACACGAGGAAGUCCCGGCUAACUACGUGCCAGCAGCCGCGGUAAAACGUGCGUG
rnacentral:rRNA from 1 species